rnacentral:rRNA from 1 species
AACGAACGCUAGCGGCGGGCCUCAAACAUGCAAGUCGUACGCGAAAGGAGCUUCGGCUCUGAGUAAAGUGGCGCACGGGUGAGUAACACGUAACUAACGUCCCCCCUCGCUGGGGACAACUCCGGGAAACCGGAGCUAAUACCGAAUGAUCUCACGGGAACCUUGGUUUCUGUGGGUAAAGCUUUUGGCGCGAGGGGAUCGGGUUGCGGCUGAUUAGCUAGUUGGUGGGGUAAUGGCCCACCAAGGCGACGAUCAGUAGCUGGUCUGAGAGGAUGAUCAGCCACACUGGAACUGACACACGGUCCAGACUCCCACGGGAGGCAGCAGUUGGGAAUAUUGGACAAUGGGCUAACGCCUGAUCCAGCCACGCCGCGUGAGUGAUGAAGGCCUUCGGGUCGUAAAGCUCUUUUAGUGGGGAAGAAUAAAUGACGGUACCCACAGAAAAAGCACCGGCUAACUCCGUGCCAGCCGCCGCAGUAA